UUUGGUGAUCAUAGCGAGAGCAAAACACCCGGCUCCAUUCCGAACCCGGCCGUUAAGUGCCUUAGCGCCGAUGGUACUGCGUCUUAAGACGUGGGAGAGUAGGUCAUCGCCAAAC
rnacentral:rRNA from 1 species